GAUCCACAGGCUUUCUUCCCUUUUAUGUUUUUUUUUUUUGCCGCUGUGUGUGUGUGUGUGUGCAACCGAAACGCAAGAACUGCAAGGCCUCCUCCCCCCUCUUUCCCCACUCCAUCGCUUCUUUUCCUGCAUCACGUUGGCUUUUUCGGCCCCCUCUCCCCCUUACUGUUCGUGGUCCUUCUCUCGACCAUCAAGGCCAAGCAUCAUCUAAAAGAUCAGGUGCGACGGUUGACUGGAAAGUGUGCGUGUGAAGGUCGUAAUGGGCCGCAAUGUGCUGAUGGUGGCUGAGAAGCCGUCGCUGGCAGAGAGCAUCGCGACGAUCUUGAGCAACGGAAGUUGCUCCCGCCGAACCCGUGCGCUGCCGGUGUACGAGUACACGGGCAAUUUCAUGGGCAGUCCCGCAUACUUCAAGGUGACGAGCACUACCGGCCACGUCUUCUCGUGCGACUUCACCUCUCAGCAUCAAAACUGGGAUCGCACGGAUGAGGAGCAGCUCUUCACCGCGCCGAUCACGUGGAAGGACACGUCGGGGAAGGUGAGCCACCACCUCGAGCAUGAGGCGCAAGGCUGUGAUACACUGGUGCUGUGGCUCGACUGUGAUCGUGAGGGGGAGAACAUUUGUUUUGAGGUGAUGCAGGUCGUUCGACGCGAGAUCUACAACCACCACAGCAUCUUCCGCGCGCACUUCUCGGCCAUCACGGCGGAGGAGAUUUUUCACGCCUUCCGCAAUCUCGGGAAGCCGAACAAGAACAUCAGCGACGCGGUGACGUGCCGGCAGGAGCUCGACCUGAAGGUUGGCGUAGCCUUCACCCGGUUUCAAACCAAGUACUUCCAGGGCAAGUACGGCGACUUGGAUGCCAGCGUUAUCAGCUACGGCCCGUGCCAGACGCCGACGCUCGGCUUCUGCGUGCAGCGCCAUGACGAGAUCCUCAACUUCAAGCCGGAGAACUUUUGGCGUCUCGUCCCGGUCGCCUCACGCGGUGGCGCACUGCUGCAAUUCGAAUGGGAUCGCGGGCGCCUCUUCGACGAGACGAUGGCGCGGCUGAUCCUUCAGCGCAUCACCAAGAGCGGUAAGGUGGCCACCGUCGUCAACGUGUCUGUCAGCAACGACACACGUCCGCGGCCGACCGGCCUCAACACAGUGGAUCUCAUGAAGAUUGCAAGCAGGGCCCUUGGCAUCGGCCCCCACUACGUGAUGAGCAUCGCCGAGAACCUGUACAUCCGCGGCUAUAUUUCGUACCCUCGUACCGAAUCCACGGCAUACCCGCCAUCUUUUAACCUUGCCGGCGCCCUCGCUCAGCAGAAAAACCACUCCAUGUGGGGGGCCUACGUAACGGCGCUGCUGCAGCAAGGACACGCGCGCCCCAAGGCAGGCAAGGACGCUGGCGAUCACCCGCCGAUCACGCCGAUGCGAAGCGCGUCGCCCAGCGAGCUCUCCGGGGAUGAGUGGCGCAUCUUCGAGUACAUUACACGACACUUCAUCGCCUCCGUGUCACCAGACUGCCGGCUAAUCAAGACGAAGAUCACGAUCGAACUUGGCGGUGAGCUUUUUAGCAUCUCGGGAAAGGUGGUGGAGGACCCCGGCUUCACGGAGAUCAUGCCGCACGCCCGCGUCGAGGACGACAGGAUGCCGACCGGCGUCCACAAGGGCGACUCCUUCCAGCUGUCCGAUGUGCGGCUGCAGGCGGGGCAGACGCAGCCGCCGUCGUACCUGACGGAGUCGGACCUGAUUGGGCUGAUGGAGAAGAACGGUAUCGGAACCGACGCGUCCAUCUCCACCCACGUCAACAACAUUGUGGAGCGCGGCUACUGCAGCGUGCAGGCGGGGCGUGUCAUGAAGCCAUCAAAGCUUGGCAUCGUGCUCAUCCACGGCAUCAAGGCCAUCGACCCGGAGCUGGUGCUGCCGCUCGUGCGCAGCCGCGUGGAGGAGUAUGUCACCCACAUCGCCGAGGGCCGCGCGCAGCUCGACGACGUGCUCAGCUACUCGCUUGACCUCUUCUUCGCUAAGUUUAAGUUCUUCAAAGAGCACAUAGACGUCUUUGAUGCCCUCAUGGGCGCCUCCUUCUCCGCCAUCUCCGCCGCCGGGAAGCCGAUUACGCGGUGCGGCAACUGCAUGCGCUACCUGAAGCACCUGGACACUCGUCCCCAGCGGCUCUACUGCCCGUACUGCGAGGUGACGUUCGCGCUGCCACAGGGCGGCACCAUUAAGCCGUACUCCAGCUUCAAGUGCCCCAUCGACAACUUCGAGCUCGUCAUCUGCCACAUCGAAGGCGGCAAGUCCUUUCCCAUCUGUCCUCAUUGCUACAACAACCCGCCGUUUGAGGACAUGCGCCCCGCCAUACAGCACCACCACCGCGGGUACGGUGGAGGGGCAGCGGCGACGACGGCACCAUCCGCGCGGCACAUGGCGUGCGACGAGUGCCGCCACCCCACGUGCGAGCACUCCCUCGCCACGAACUACGUGUGCGACUGCGUGGACGGCUCCUGCGCCGGCAGCAUGGCCUUCGUUCCCCGGACGGCUGGCCAGUGGAAGGUGUGCUGCAACAAGUGCCCCAUGAUGAUCAAGCUGCCACCGACAGCGCAGCGAGUGUACGUCACUUCCGAGGAGUGCCCCGAAUGCGCCGCCAACUGCCUCGACAUCAUGUUCCCCGAAGGCAAGAGCGUCUUGCCUAACCGCAAGGACCGCAUUGUCGCGUGCAUCUUCUGUCAUCCAGGCCUGAGCCCGCUCUGCGAGGAAGUGCGCGGCCGCAUAGGUAACUUCCGCCGCAUCGGUGGCGCUGCUGCUGGUGGUCGGGGCGGCCGUGGACGCGGACGUGGUCGCGGACGUGGUCGCGGACGUGGCAACCGCGAGGAUCGCCGGUGAGCGUGCCGCAGCCCCUUCGUCGGUCCCCAGUUGCGGUAAUGAAGUCUGGAUAAGCGAGGCGUGCACGUUUGCCUGCGUGCGCAUGCGCACGGGGGUGAGCCGAUGGCAUGCGCUUUCUCUGCCUUCUUUAUGUGUGUGUUGCCGUGACCUGCGAGCCGCUCCCUUUCCUCCACCUCUCAGACGCGUGUGCAUCCGCGUUCUUCCUUCCAUUCCUCCCUCACACCCACGUGGACAGCG
rnacentral:misc_RNA from 1 species